rnacentral:rRNA from 1 species
UACGCAGGGGGCUAGCGGUGUUCGGAUUUACUGGGCGUAAAGCGCGUGUAGGCGGAUCGUUAAGUCGGGGGUGAAAGCCCAGAGCUCAACUCUGGAAUUGCCUUCGAUGCUGGCGGUCUGGAGCAGAGAAGAGGCGAGUGGAAUUCCGAGUGUAGAGGUGAAAUUCGUAGAUAUUCGGAGGAACACCAGUGGCGAAGGCGGCUCGCUGGUCUCUUGCUGACGCUGAGACGCGAAAGCGUGGGGAGCAAACAGG